AAACUAUCGUCUUUGAAAUUGAGGUGUCGCAUAUAUUGUCUCCCAUUGUCAUUUCAUGGAUGAAAUCCAAAUGGGUCAUUCACAAGUUGAAUUCCCAUCUUCCCUCUUCGGUAAACUCUGUGCUGUCUCUAUUCGAAACGCAAAUCCACCAGGUCCCGUCUUCAAAGUCUUCAACUUUUGUCCUCAAUCACGUAGAUAUAAGCCUCCUCUUAUCUGUCUCUGGAAGGGAAGGUUACUUCCAUCUAGGUUCUUCCAUUCAUGCCUCCAUUAUCAAAAACCAUGAAUUUUUACUACUCCAGAACCAUUCCAUUUUCCGAAAUGUCCUUGUUAUUUGGAACUCUCUCCUUUCUAUGUAUACAAAAUGCGGGGUCGCUUGCGAUGCUGCUAAAUUGUUUGAUCAUAUGCCUAUGAGAGAUACUGUUUCAUGGAAUACAAUGAUUUCCGGGUUUUUAAGGAAUGGGGACUUUGAUACGGGUUUUGGGCUUUUUAAACAAAUGCGAGAAUCAGGUUUCUAUCAGUUGGAUCAAGCAACUUUAACCACGAUAUUAUCGGCUUUUGAUAGGCCUGAGCUUAGUUUUGCCAACAAAAUGAUACACUCUUUGGUGUUUUUAAAUGGUUUUGAGCGAGAAAUAACAGUAGGGAAUGCAUUGGUCACAUCAUAUUUCAAAUGUGGGUGUUCUAGUUUCGGGAGGCAGGUCUUUGAUGAGAUGCUUGAAAGGAAUGUUGUUACUUGGACAGCUAUAAUAUCAGGGCUAUCACAAAAUGAAUUGUUCGAGGAUAGUUUGAGGUUAUUUCUGAAAAUGCGUCAUGGAAUGGUAGAACCCAAUUUUUUGACAUACUUGAGUUCAUUGAUGGCGUGUUCUGGUUUGCAGGCAUUAGGGGAAGGGCGUCAAAUUCAUGGACUUGUAUGGAAAUUGGGAAUUCAAUCAGAUUUGUGCAUUGAGAGUGCAUUAAUGGACAUGUAUUCAAAAUGUGGAAGUCUGGAAGAUGCAUGGAGGAUUUUUGAAUCUGCAGUCGAGCUUGAUGAGGUUUCCAUGACUGUAAUUCUUGUGGGUUUUGCACAGAAUGGGUUUGAGGAAGAAGCCAUACAAUUUUUUGUAAAAAUGGUGAAGGCAGGAACUGAGGUUGAUCCAAACAUGGUUUCUGCUGUUCUUGGGGUGUUUGGUGUGGAUACCUCGUUGGGUCUUGGCAAGCAAAUACAUUCAUUGGUUAUAAAACGAAGCUUUGGUUCUAAUCGCUUCGUUGGCAAUGGGCUCAUUAAUAUGUACUCAAAGUGUGGAGAGUUGCAGGAUUCAAUCAAAGUCUUCAGUAAAAUGCCACAGAGGAAUUCUGUCUCCUGGAACUCUAUGAUUGCUGCUUUUGCUCGCCAUGGGGAUGGCUUUAGAGCACUGCAAUUGUAUGAAGAGAUGAGACAGGAAGGAGUAGAACCAACAGAUGUUACUUUUCUCUCAUUGCUUCAUGCUUGUAGUCAUGGAGGCUUAGUUGACAAGGGCAUGGAAUUCUUAAAAUCUAUGACUGAAGUUUUCAGAAUUAGUCCUAGAACAGAGCACUAUGCUUGUGUUGUUGACAUGUUGGGCAGGGCAGGGCUUCUCAAUGAAGCUAAGACUUUCAUUGAGGGGUUGCCUAUGAAGCCCGAUGUGCUUAUUUGUCAAGCUUUGCUUGGAGCAUGUAGCAUUCAUGGAAAUACUGAAGUGGGGAAAUAUGCAGCAGAGCAGUUGUUUUUAUUAGAACCCGACAAUCCAGUGCCACAUGUUUUGUUGGCAAAUAUAUACUCUAGUGAAGGUAGAUGGAAAGAAAGAGCAUGGACUAUUAAGAGAAUGAAAGAAAUUGGGGUGGUAAAAGAAACAGGUAUGAGUUGGAUUGAGAUUGACAAGAAAGUGCACAGCUUCGUUGUUGAGGACAAAAUGCAUCCCCAAGCUGUUAUCAUAUAUGGGGUUUUAGCAGGGUUAUUUAGACUUAUGAAAGAUGAAGGUUAUAAACCAGAUAAGAGGUUUAUUCUGUAUUACUUGGAUCAAGAUGUCAAGCACAACUAAUAAUAAUAGUUCUACUGCUUAAUACAUAGGGCUGUGAAUUUAACUUGUAGAGAAAUUA
rnacentral:misc_RNA from 1 species